UGAACUCCUUGCAUAGAGUUUUCUCCAAUGACAAUAUUGCAUCUUUUUUUUGAUCAUCUUGCCACUGAAAGCCAGAUAUCUCUGGGCACUUCUUGGCUUCCUUGGCUCUCUAUGCCUCUUUGGUGAUGGGCUGGACAGGUGGACUGGAACCACAUUGUACUUGUUGUACUUUAGCUGCACUACAGAAGAUAGCUAGAUUGAAGAGGGAUUACAUCAAUGGCAAGAAGACCAGUUGGCAGGUUUGAAUAAUGAUUUGUCUUGGGAGAGAGAUGAAGUCUGAAGUAAAGUGGUUGCUACAAGAUUGAAGAGGAGGACAUUAUAAGUAAUAAAACAUGGAAGAAGAAAUAACUGAACUGGCAGUGUCAUGUGGAGAAAGAAGCAUGGAUCAGGAAAAGAAGCCUAGACUUGGAAUCAGAAGAUGGUGGUUUGAGUCCCUGCUGCAAAACACUGAAUCUUUCUGGUCCUCAGUUUCCUUAUCUUUAAAAUGGGGACAAUGAUAUACACACUACUUACUUCACAAGGGUCGUUUUAAGGAACAUAUUUUGUAAGCCAUAAUAACUCACAAGAAAGUGUGAGUUAUUAUUAUUAGUAUUCAU